rnacentral:rRNA from 1 species
CAGGGUUUUUGGCAUGGGGGAAACCCUGACCCCGCGACGCCGCGUGAGCGAUGAAGGCCUUCGGGGUGUAAAGCUCUUUCGGCGGGGACGAUAAUGACGGUACCAGAAGAAGAAGCUGCGGCUAACUACGUGCCAGCAGCCGCGGUAAUA